rnacentral:piRNA from 1 species
AGUGUUAAUGGUGUCAGUCGUCUGGACC